UACAGUAAUUUUCUUAAGAAGAUAUCACCCUUUCUCAAACUCUCAGGUUUUAGAAGCUUAAAGAUCUUUAAUUAGUUCCUCAAAAGUUAUUUAUUUGCAUUCUACGUCUUCCGUUGGAUUUAAAUUUUAAUUACGAGAAACCUUGUACCUCUCCGUCCGCUAGCUUCGAAAUGAAAUCUACGGCCCAUACGCCCAUACCCAAAUGACCGUUGGGGUUCAAAUUUGAAUAAUGAUACUCUUAUUAUCAUCAAAUUUUAAGUCCCCGUCGUUGGGUAGAAGAUUCAAAAGCACACGAAAACACGCAUAACCGAAAGAAGCAAGAAGCCAUGAAAAUGGUGAAAACUAUGCUCUUGGGAUCAACAGCUGGAAAAUCAAGCACCACCACAGCUUUGGAAGAUGACCACUCCGAAAGUCGAGACAGUUGCUACUUCCCCGGCUGCCGAAAAGACGCUAAUUGUAACUGCCCGAUUUUCUUGGCCAGCAUCAAUGCCCUACUCUUGACCUCAGACCCAUCAGCAUCCAGAAAAGCUCCCUCACUAAGCUCUCCGCUUCUCAGCCUGGCAACGUGGAGUGCACUCCUGUCUCAUUCAAUUCUUCUAUCUUAUCCACACGUAGAUCGAGUGCUAAUUGGGUUCCUCCCCUCCGUUUCUUGAAUCAAAUGCAAGAUAGAAUUUCAACGAGGAGAUGAGGAACAGGAAAAGAGAGUGGGAUUUGAGAGAAGUCGUUUGAUGAGAUUGGUAUUUGGUUUGAUUUUGAUCUCCGUGGCUGAGCCCGGGCUUCAUUGUGGGCUUUCUGGGUCUUAAGACCCCGUGUUAUCGCGGGAUAUAGUUAAGCAUGUGGGUGAGAAAUCCUGGGUUGUGCAAGAUUUGAAGGGGAGCUGAGUUUUUUGCAGAGGGAGUUGCAAGGUCUUGUCAACGGGGAGGUUUCAAAUUGCAGCCAUACUGAUUCUAUUAGGGAAAUUGAUCAGGACGGUUUGCUCUUGAUUUCGCGUUGUACAUUGUACUAGUCAGCAAUGGAGGAGGUUAGUGUAUGGGGAUGGCCAAUGCAGACAGCGGGAUUGCUCACAACUGGAUUUUCUUCCCGAUCUUUCACUAUCUUAUUCCGGCAGAGUUACAGAGGUAAACGCAAAACACUCUUGAUAUCUGAUUGACUAGGCAAUCUCAGUUUCUCUAGAAAGCUUCAUAUUGGUAUGAUCAGUAGCCCUGGCAAAACUAAAAUGUAAACGCCACUAGAUUCUUUU